rnacentral:rRNA from 1 species
ACGUAGGCAGCGAGCGUUGUUCGGAGUUACUGGGCGUAAAGCGUGCGUAGGCGGUGGUCCAAGUCUGGUGUGAAAUCUCCCGGCUCAACUGGGAGGGUGCGCCGGAAACUGGGCCGCUGGAGUGCGGGAGAGGCAAGCGGAAUUCCAGGUGUAGCGGUGAAAUGCGUAGAUAUCUGGAGGAACACCGGUGGCGAAGGCGGCAUCCUGGACCAACACUGACGCUGAGGAGCGAAAGCCAGGGGAGCAAACGGGA